rnacentral:rRNA from 1 species
UACGGGGGGGGCAAGCGUUGUUCGGAAUUACUGGGCGUAAAGGGCUCGUAGGCGGCCAACUAAGUCAGACGUGAAAUCCCCGGGCUCAACCCGGGAACUGCGUCCGAUACUGGGGGGCUUGAAUUCGGGAGAGGGAUGCGGAAUUCCAGGUGUAGCGGUGAAAUGCGUAGAUAUCUGGAGGAACACCGGUGGCGAAGGCGGCAUCCUGGACCGACAUUGACGCUGAGGCGCGAAAGCCAGGGGAGCAAACGGG